rnacentral:rRNA from 1 species
CCAAUAGCGUAUAUUAAAGUUGUUGCAGUUAAAAAGCUCGUAGUUGAACUUCGGGGUUCACCCAUUGGUCAGGCUUAAUUGUCUGUACUGGUGAGAUGAGUCUCUACCUUCUGAGGAACUUUCAUGCCAUUUAUUUGGUGUGAUUGGAAAUCAGGACUGUUACUUUGAAAAAAUUAGAGUGUUUAAAGCAGGCUAACGUCUGAAUACAUUAGCAUGGAAUAAUGAAAUAGGACGGACUGAUUCUAUUUCGUUGGUUUCUAGGAUCACCGUAAUGAUUAAUAGGGAUAGUUGGGGGCAUUAGUAUUCAAUUGUCAGAGGUGAAAUUCUUGGAUUUAUUGAAGACUAACUACUGCGAAAGCAUUUGCCAAGGAUGUUUUCAUUAAUCAAGAACGAAAGUUAGGGGAUCGAAGACGAUCAGAUACCGUCGUAGUCUUAACCAUAAACUAUGCCGACUAGGGAUCGGACGAAGUUAAUUUUAUAAUGACGCGUUCGGCACCUUACG